GAUGAACGCUGGCGGCGUGCCUAAUACAUGCAAGUCGAGCGAACAGAUGAGGCGCUUGCUCCUCUGACGUUAGCGGCGGACGGGUGAGUAACACGUGGAUAACCUACCUAUAAGACUGGGAUAACUUCGGGAAACCGGAGCUAAUACCGGAUAAUAUAUUGAACCGCAUGGUUCAAUAGUGAAAGACGGUUUUGCUGUCACUUAUAGAUGGAUCCGCGCUGCAUUAGCUAGUUGGUAAGGUAACGGCUUACCAAGGCAACGAUGCGUAGCCGACCUGAGAGGGUGAUCGGCCACACUGGAACUGAGACACGGUCCAGACUCCUACGGGAGGCAGCAGUAGGGAAUCUUCCGCAAUGGGCGAAAGCCUGACGGAGCAACGCCGCGUGAGUGAUGAAGGUCUUCGGAUCGUAAAACUCUGUUAUUAGGGAAGAACAAAUGUGUAAGUAACUAUGCACGUCUUGACGGUACCUAAUCAGAAAGCCACGGCUAACUACGUG
rnacentral:rRNA from 1 species